UUCCGAUGAUCCGAAAACCAGUACUCUCUUAGAUCGUCUAUGCUCUCAAAUUCGUACUUUAUUUGGCCUUUUAAACUUUCAUUAGAGCGUCAGUGAUGAGAUUAAUGUGUUGGACGAAACUCGAGUCUGGCGUACAAAAUCUUAAUCCUGGUAUCUGCGAUGAGUCUAUAUAUAUGCAAUUAAAUGCAAAAUUUGUUGAUUUUUUUCUGUACGAGACACUAUAUUAGAUGUUGCUUUGACUUGCAAUGGCUGUUACUUUAUUCGAACUUAAGACAAAAGAGCUGCGAACGUUUGAAAUUGAAGACAGUUAGGAACCUAACAUAGAAAGCAACAGGGUGAUACACUAGUGCUGUAUUCCAUCCCUAUACACAAUUAUAACAUAUUUACUAUCAGAUUUAACAAGUUUAACCCCGCCACAUGCUGUAUGUAUGUGCCUGUUCAAAGGCCAGGAGCCUGUAAUUCAGUGGUUGUCGUUUUUUUUUUGUUGUUGAUGUGUUACAUAUUUGAUUUUGUAAAUGAAUUAAGCCGUUAGUUUUCUCGUUAGAAUUGUCACUUCGGGGCCUUUUAUAAAUAGCUGACUAUGCGGUAUUGACUUUACUCAUUGUUGAAUGCCGUACAAUGUAAGUACGGUGACCUAUAAUUGUUCAUUUUUAUGUUAUUUGGUCUCUUGUGAAGAGUUGUCACACAUCUUUUUUAUAUUGACAAAACAAAUAAAUUUCAACUAGAGUAUAAUACAUUUACAAUGCAUAUGCUUUAUAAAUUAUUAGAAGUAGUAUGUUUUUGAGGUUUUCGAAAGUAGAACGGGUGAAAAAGUGACAGCAGGUGAAAAAUUGAAAUUACACAGAUAUAUAGGUGCAGGAAGUUUUUCGCAAAAGGUAUUAUGAAAUAAAACAGCGCCUUGGCCUUUUUAAUAAUUUUCCUCACUGCUCAUGUUGUGAUCUCAUCCUGAGUUCUCCUUUGCUCAUGUUGUGAUCUCAUCCUCAG
rnacentral:lncRNA from 1 species